rnacentral:tRNA from 1 species
GCCGUCGUAGCUCAAUGGACAGAGCGCAUCUCUAGCUCAGGUGUGGUUGUGGGUUCGAGUCCCACCGGCGGCG